GACGAACGCUGGCGGCGUGCUUAACACAUGCAAGUCGAACGGAAAGGCCCUGCUUUUGUGGGGUGCUCGAGUGGCGAACGGGUGAGUAACACGUGAGUAACCUGCCCUUGACUUUGGGAUAACUUCAGAAAACUGGGGCUAAUACCGGAUAGGAGCUCCUGCUGCAUGGUGGGGGUUGGAAAGUUUCGGCGGUUGGGGAUGGACUCGGGGCUUAUCAGCUUGUUGGUGGGGUAGUGGCUUACCAAGGCUUUGACGGGUAGCCGGCCUGGGAGGGUGACCGGGGACAUUGGGACUGAGAGACGGCCCAGACUCCUACGGUAGGCAGCAGUGGGGAAUAUUGCACAAUGGGCGGAAGCCUGAUGCAGCAACGCCGCGUGCGGGAUGACGGCCUUCGGGUUGUAAACCGCUUUCGCUUGUGACGAAGCGUGAGUGACGGUAAUGGGUAAAGAAGCACCGGCUAACUACGUG
rnacentral:rRNA from 1 species